rnacentral:rRNA from 1 species
CCUACGGGAGACAGCAGUGGGGAAUAUUGGGCAAUGGGCGCAAGCCUGACCCAGCAAUGCCGCGUGAAGGAAGAAGGCUUUCGGGUUGUAAACUUCUUUUAAGGGGGAAGAGCAGAAGACGGUACCCCUUGAAUAAGCCACGGCUAACUACGUGCCAGCAGCCGCGGUAAUACGUAGGUGGCAAGCGUUGUCCGGAUUUACUGGGUGUAAAGGGCGUGCAGCCGGAGAGACAAGUCAGAUGUGAAAUCCACGGGCUCAACCCGUGAACUGCAUUUGAAACUGUUUCCCUUGAGUGUCGGAGAGGUAAUCGGAAUUCCUUGUGUAGCGGUGAAAUGCGUAGAUAUAAGGAAGAACACCAGUGGCGAAGGCGGAUUACUGGACGAUAACUGACGGUGAGGCGCGAAAGCGUGGGGAGCAAACAGGAUUAGAUACCCUUGUAGUC